rnacentral:rRNA from 1 species
AGAGUUUGAUCAUGGCUCAGAAUCAACGCUGGCGGCGCGCUUAACACAUGCAAGUCGAACGGGAAAGUGGAGCAAUCCAUGAGUAUAGUGGCGUACGGGUGAGUAACACGUGGGUAUCUAACUCUUAGUGGGGAAUAACGCUGGGAAACCGGCGCUAAUACCGCAUAAGCUCGAGAGAGGAAAGCAGCAAUGCGCUGAGAGAGGAGCCCGCGGCCGAUUAGCUAGUUGGCAGGGUAAAAGCCUACCAAGGCAGAGAUCGGUAGCCGGCCUGAGAGGGCACACGGCCACACUGGCACUGAAACACGGGCCAGACUCCUACGGGAGGCAGCAGUGGGGAAUCUUGCACAAUGGGGGCAACCCUGAUGCAGCGACGCCGCGUGAGCGAUGAAGCCCUACGGGGUGUAAAGCUCUUUCGUCAGGGAAGAUGAUGACGGUACCUGGAGAAGCAGCUGCGGCUAACUACGUGCCAGCAGCCGCGGUAAUACGUAGGCAGCGAGCGUUGUUCGGAGUUACUGGGCGUAAAGGGUGUGUAGGCGGUUCUUUAAGUUUGGUGUGAAAUCUCCCGGCUCAACCGGGAGGGUGCGCCGAAUACUGAGGGACUAGAGUACGGGAGAGGAAAGUGGAAUUCCUGGUGUAGCGGUGAAAUGCGUAGAUAUCAGGAGGAACACCGGUGGUGUAGACGGCUUUCUGGACCGUAACUGACGCU